rnacentral:rRNA from 1 species
GAUGAACGCUAGCUACAGGCUUAACACAUGCAAGUCGAGGGGCAGCAGGGAUUUAGCUUGCUAAAUCCGCUGGCGACCGGCGCACGGGUGCGUAACGCGUAUCCAACUUUCCCGUUACUCAGGGAUAGCCUUCCGAAAGGGAGAUUAAUACCUGAUGGUGUUUGAAAUCCGCAUGUUUUUCAAACUAAAGAUUCAUCGGUAACGGAUAGGGAUGCGUGACAUUAGAUAGUAGGCGGGGUAACGGCCCACCUAGUCUACGAUGUCUAGGGGUUCUGAGAGGAAGGUCCCCCACACUGGAACUGAGACACGGUCCAGACUCCUACGGGAGGCAGCAGUGAGGAAUAUUGGUCAAUGGUCGGAAGAUUGAACCAGCCAAGUAGCGUGAAGGAUGAAGGUUCUAUGGAUUGUAAACUUCUUUUAUACGGGAAUAAAACAUCCCACGUGUGGGAUCUUGUAUGUACCGUAUGAAUAAGCAUCGGCUAACUCCGUGCCAGCCGCCGCAGUAAGAC